rnacentral:lncRNA from 1 species
AUCACUGGGAUAGAUGAUCUUGAUCCUGUCAGAUGGCCAAGUUCAAAAUGGCGAUGCCUUACGGUGCUUUACUCUAACCAUAGUCAUCAUCUCUAUAUUGACAACAAGUCUUUUAGUUUUAGUUCCUAACCUGAUCCUGAGCUGCUUGCAUUUUAUUGCAGGUCAGAUGGGAUGAUGGGGCAGACAGCAAUCGGCAUAAUAGGCUCUCUCCAUGGGAAGUUAAGCCUUAUGCAAGUUCAAAUUACAUGUCCUCACCAGUUCCAAAGAGAAACAAGAUCGGUCCUUCAACAAUCCUGGAUGCUUCAGUUCCUGGUAUAUAUAUAAAUCAAUUUUGAGUUAAACCUUUUAAUAUGUUCUCAUUAUUAGUCUUUACCCGAAAUGUUUAAAAUGUAUGCAGACAGAGGAGCGUCAAGCUUUGAGGAAUCUGCAAGCUACCACAAGGUCUUGCAAGGUCAAGAAAUUUUAGGGUUCAGAACUCCACACAGUGGUUCCGAGCUAUCUAAUUCACUGAGGAAUCAACAGGUUGCUGGAAUUGGAAGAACACACACAGUUUCCGGCUCCGGUUCUGGUGGAUAUUUGCUAGCUGGGAAAUCUAGUUUUCCCUAUAUGUGCAACGGCUUCGAUGAAUCUAAUAGAUUCAGUAGUAGGGUCUUGCAAGGUCAAGAAAUAUUUCCAUUUCGUCUUAUGCCAGGUGGACAUCAACAACACUUCAGUGUACCGGCAAAGGAAAAUGGUAAUUUUGGGGUUUACAAUACUUCUUCGCAUGUGUCUGGUGGACAUAGUACCAGUCAUCAUUCACUUGUUAACGGAAUGGUUGCAAUAGCAUCGUCACCUUCAUCGGUUAUAAUGUUUCAGCAACCAAGUUAUCAUCAAUCCACCAAUGCAUCUGCUGGUAUUAUCAAUCAGAGGGAAGGAAGUUACCAUCAUGUAUCUGCAACUGAUUGGUCCAAUAACUUCACAUCCAGUACUCAUCAUCAUAAAAAUCAGUUCUUACAUUGUAGCUAUGAUGACGACGAGCGUGAGAAAAUCAGGAAGGAAGAUGGUGUUGCUACCCCAUUUGUUACUAAGCAGCAACCGGAUCCCAUAGCAAGUGUUGGCAACAAUGGCAGUAGUUACAGGUUAUUUGGGUUUUCAUUGCUCGAUCCGCCUUCAGUAUCCGAUGAAGUGUCCGAAACCUCUCAGUCACCAUCACCUGCUCCACCAGCUGCUGAGCAUAGUUGCAGCAACGUGAGCGCUCCUCUAUAUGCGCUAUGUGCUUAGCAGCAUUAAGUGAUUUUUGGUGCGAACUGCCAAACAAAACAUGUGUUAUUGUAAUUUGCUACUUACUCUGCUGUUUUAGGAAUUUCUUCUUAGAAACAAAAUAGUGCUCCCUCUGUUCCAUUUUGCCUUCAGGGAGCAAAGAAAUCCUACUCUAUCUAGACUAUUUUUAUGGUAUUAUUAUUCCUUUUUUCUCUCUAUUUAAGUUCAGAAACUGAUCAACUAACUACGUCAGUUGAUUCACGGCCAUUGGAUCUUAGCAAAAAAAAAUACAAGUACAGAAUAUUUAAUAGUUGUCGAUUUAGAUGGAUGUGACAAUUGUCCCACCGUCAUUUUUUUUCUUUCUCCCCACUUGCCAAAUUGCCCAAUAAUUGGCGAGAGGAUGAAAAUUGGUUUUGCUAAGGGUAUAAGACUAACCAACUCCAGAUUUGAUUUAGUUCCUAAAUUUCAGAUUUCAGCAUUGAGAAUUUUUUUUAUUCUUGCAAUCUCGAGUGAAAUGAAUUUAAUGACAAAGGAAUUAGAACAAGUUCCAAGUGAAUCCCCCAUACCUGACCAGAGUGGCCUUCAAUCGCAAGCAACAUCUGUGGUGGUGGAGCUGCUUGAUGACUACUGGUUCUUCCGCAAUUGCCUCCGUCACAAUCAUACUACUCCUCCCAAUAAAUCAAAGGACGAGGUUUCGA